rnacentral:rRNA from 1 species
UACGUAGGGUGCGAGCGUUGUCCGGAAUUAUUGGGCGUAAAGAGCUCGUAGGCGGUGUGUCGCGUCGGCCGUGAAAACCUGGGGCUCAACUCUGGGCGUGCGGUCGAUACGGGCAUCACUUGAGUUCGGCAGGGGAGACUGGAAUUCCUGGUGUAGCGGUGAAAUGCGCAGAUAUCAGGAGGAACACCGGUGGCGAAGGCGGGUCUCUGGGCCGAUACUGACGCUGAGGAGCGAAAGCCAUGGGUAGCGAACAGG